rnacentral:rRNA from 1 species
UACGGGGGGAGCAAGCGUUGUUCGGAAUUACUGGCGUAAAGCGCAUGUAGGCGGCCAACUAAGUCGGAUGUGAAAUCCCCAAGCUUAACUUGGGAACUGCAUCCGAUACUGGAUGGCUUGAAUCCGGGAGAGGGAUGCAGAAUUCCAGGUGUAGCGGUGAAAUGCGUAGAUAUCUGGAGGAAUACCGGUGGCGAAGGCGGCAUCCUGGACCGGCAUUGACGCGUGAGGAGCGAAAAGCUAGGGGAGCAAACGGG